AGUCAAAUUUUUGGAGAGAGAGAAUACAGCUGAGCCACGUGACUGCUCCCAGAUUAGCAGCAGUAGCAGGAGUAAGCAUUCCUCUGAUAUUACAGUAGCCACCGUGGGACAUGCCUGAAACUCUGAAGAGAGAAGCUGCAGUUUGGAAGCUUCCUGCAGGAGGAAAUUCUGCUUGAAAGGGCAGCCCUAACUCCCUAUGGAGCCAAAAUAGGGACUCUCAAAACCAUGCUUGUUGAUGACAUCCAGAAUGAUCUGCUCCAUCACCUUUCCAAGGAUGGAGAGUUGACAGGAACAAGAAGGAAGCCUUGCAAUAAAACUCUACAACCUUCUGCACAACAGCAAAGGAAAACUGAAGCUUGUCUUUGUCAGCUCCUCAGCUGAUGAACAUGUCAAGACCUAUAGUGAGGUCCUGGUGCACGAUACCAAGAGGGAUGGCUCAGUCCCUGGCAGCAUCCUGUCUUAAGAGUCAAGGUGAAAAAGGAGCAAGGACUCCAGGCUGCCAUUGCAGAAAGGACAAAACAUGCAUGAACAGAACCCUCUCUGCCAGAGCCUUACUCAUGUCACCACCUUCAAGGGCAUCCCUCUUCAGCCAUGGAGAUCCCUGUUGGCAGAGCUGAAGGUUUCUUCAUUUGCCCAGUCCAGCCUGAGAACCCAGAGACCAGGCACAGAACAGAGAAGGGUUUGGAGGGGGAAGUAGAACAGCCAACAAAAAAACACCACCCUACCCUCAUCUCAAGAAGCUCUAAAUUGUAGAAGAGGCAGCUGGAGACUGUCAUGGACCUUUGUUGGACAAAACCAGCCACAGUUGAUUUUUCCAUGUCUUUGUUCUAAAAACUGAUUUAAUUUGUGCAGUACAAAAAUACUUUAUAAGGAUCUUUAAAAGUGCCAAGAAGGAACACAGAGCUCAACUGGAAGAAAAAUGAAACUCUGGUACAAAACAAGGAACCCAGAAAAUAAAUGGGUCCAAAGGAAUCAGCCUCGAAUGACUGCAUAGCACUCCUUUGGUGGAAAAAUGGUGACUGGUUUAUUGUUAAACAGUCCAUAUUUCUUGUGGGAAGUAAUCAUGCAGAGUAGUAACACUAAUGUAAAUAGAAAUUCUCUCCAGAAAUUGUUUCUGAGAAUGCCAGCAGUCUUAAAAUAGUUGCUUGCUCCCUCCAAAUAGACACCACUGAACUCACAAAUUGAUGUAAUUCCAGCAAUGGGUCUGUAGCUUUCCUCUGCAGUCACGCUGUUGAAUUAACAAGUAAGAGGCAAAUGGAAUGCAGAGAAGGCAGUUACUGAACACCUUCUUUGCAUCAGUCUUCCCUGACAAGAUCAGCCCUCAGGGAUCUCUGAUACAGGAGACCAGGGUAGAGGAUUGGUGGAAGGAAUACUUCCCCUUGGCCAAGGAGGAUUGGGUUAGAGAUCACACAGGCAAAUCCAUGGGCCUUGAUGGGAUCUUGGAGAGGCUGUGGUGAUCAGGAGAGGUGCCUGAGGACUGGCAGGAAGCAAAUGUCACCCCAGCCUUCAAAAUGGACAAGAAGGACUACACAGGGAAUCAUCAGCCAGUCAGUCUCACCUCAAUCCCUGGAAAAGUGAUGGAACAUCUCAUUUUGAGGCCAUCUCUAUCCACAUAGAGGAGGACAAGAUCAGUGUAGUCAGCGUGGAUUCACUAAAGUUAUCUUAGGCUUGACCAACAUGGUUGCUUUCUACAAUGAAAGCCCAUCUGGAUGGAUGAGGGGAGAGCAGUGGGUAUUGUUUAUCUCUACUUCAGAUGUGCUUUUGGCACUCCUAUACAGGCAAGCUCAGGAAUUCCUGUCUGGAUGAGUGGAUGGAAAGGUGGAUUAAGAACUGGCUGAACAGCAGAUCCUGGAGGGUCAUUAUCAAUGGCACAGGGGCCAGUUAUCAUUAGUGGUGUCCCCAGGGCUCUACACUGGGCCCAGUAUUGUUUAACUUAUUCAUCAAUGACUUGGAUGAAGGGACAGAUGCCUGCCCAGCAAGUUCACUGGUGCCAGGAAGGGGGGAGCAGUGCCUGAUACCCCAGAGGGCUCUGAGCCCUUCAGAGGGACCUCGACAGCCUGGAGAGAUGGGCAGGGAAAAACCUCCUGGAACUCAACAGGGGCCAGUGCAGGGCCCUGCCCCUGGGGAGGAACAACCCCAGGCACCAGCACAGGCUGGGGUGAGCUGCUGGGCAGCAGCUCUGCACAGAGGGACCUGGGGGUGCUGCUGGACAAGGAGCUGUCCAUGGGCCAGCCGUGCCCUGGGGGACAAGGAGGCCAAGGGGAGCCUGGGCUGCAUUGGGAGCUGCACUGCCAGCAGGUCAGGGAGGAGAUCCUGCCCCUCUGCCCAGCCCUGGGGAGGCCAGUCUGGAGUGCUGUGCCCACUCCUGGGAUCCUCAGGACACGUGGAGCUCCUGGAGAGGGUCCAGCAGAGGGGGACAAAGAUGAUGAAGGGACUGGAGCA